UCUUCUCUGGACAUUAUCAGCGCAGCAGACAAACUUUACCAGCUGCCUAGGAGCAAGAGGGCCCCAAUGUAUGAGAGAAGUUUGAGUAAAAUAUAGUGUGUAAUCUUUUUUUAACCAUUAUCAUUACUUUACCCGUGGAGGAAGAUAUAGGGUACAUUUGAGACCAUAAUACGUGAGAAGUCCAUACAGGGCGUCAAAGGUUUGCCCCCUGCGUGCGACACAGGAAUAAUGGACAUCGCAACCACUGCAGAUGCAGCCACUGCCAAACCUGAACCCACUGCUAUGGAGGAGUCAGAUCCGCAAGAGGCGCAAGAGCCCCGCACAUCGGAGAAGAUUGACUUGUCACUAGAUGACAUCAUCAAACUGAACAAAAAAGAGAACAAGGCCAAUAAGGCUGCCAACAAGGCUCGGGACCGACGCACCACAAGCAAAAACACUGUCCUCAAGAAACUGGACCGGGCAGGACAACAGCAGACAUUUCCUUUCAGACGUGGUCCUUAUCAAUUCCAGCAAGGACCCUACAAAUCGCGUUACAUGGGACCCCCCAUUCCUGGCUAUUACAGAGUAAAGCCAUAUCUCAGAAAGACUCCUUUUGGAGCACAUCACCUCAAAGGUGUGAGCCCUUUAAAAAGACCUCCUUUGAACACAAAGGAAGGAGCACAGUUCGGAAAACGUAAACCGUUGUUCAAGGGUGCGUUUUAUCAACCGUACAGAGGUCCCCCAGGGGCUUUGAGAAGGCCUCCUCCCCAAUUCAGAGGGCAAAGAAGCCACCAUUCCAGCCCAAACAGAGACAGGGCGGUGUAAAGCCAUUCAUCCUAAAUAGAGGGUUUCCUGCAGCAAAUGGAAAAAUGGAUAAGUACCAAAAGGUUAGAAGCUGGAAAAAGGCGCCCUCCGGUGUUUCUACCUUGACGGUGUCACUGCCCAACUCCAAAGCCAACUCAGAGCCCGCGGCCAAGGCUAAGCAGGCCACAGUGCUGGACCGAUCCAGUCCAUCAGGGGUGUCCCCCCAGCCCAAAGGCAUCCCUCUCAAAUUUAACUUCAAGGCCACUAUAAAUCAGACGGGAGUGACCCUCAAUGACCGCUUCACUGGUAUGAGGAUCUGGGCAGGCCUAGGGCAGGGUCCACGGAGGGGCAGUGGCAGGGGAAGAGGCAGAGGCCGAGAAGGCCGGACUGUCAUCCUACAGUGAUCAUUGUUGAGGACCUGUGCUGUCUGUAGCCUAUAUUAAAAAAAACAUCUCAUUAAUCCCCCUGUUAACCCUUCCAAUAAGCUCACAUUUUGAAGACACUUUAUAUUGUUAGUUAUUUUAGUAUGUAUGGCACGCAUUUAGUUACUUCUUGUUUCCAAAAUGUUUGGACCUCAGAAAAAGUCUAGACAUUCAAUGAAUUAAAUGACAAGUGAUAAAGAGCUGAAGUGACAGGCUACACAGAUUUAUAUACUCUUCAUGUAGACGCUAGAAACACAUUUAUUUUGGGAACCAUCAUGUGAAGUUAGGACAGUGAUCUCAGCCUGUUACCCAAAGUAUUUUUAGCUCUUGUUAAUGGGGUUGGCAUGUACAGUGCCUUCGGAAAGUAUUCAGACCCCUUGACUUUUCCCACAUUUUGUUAGGUUAUACAGCCUUAUUCUAAAAUUGAUAACAAACUGUCAUGUUUUGUGAUUGAUUAUCAUGUCUUGU